UUUUAGGGUUUGGUCUCGAUCUACGGUUUGGGGGACUCUUGGUGUCAAGGAAGGCUCUCAACAUCCUCUUCUAACCACUAGAGAGUGGUGUUGUAAGUUGUGGAUCUCACAAAGUUCAUUUAAGCACUUGUAGUUCAUUUCCCGUAGGUGUCGGAACUGCUGACAGUUUGCGUUGGAACUUCUGACAACGUCGGAAGUUCUGACCCAAACUGUCGGGACUUCCGA
rnacentral:lncRNA from 1 species